AACGAACGCUGGCGGCAUGCCUAACACAUGCAAGUCGAACGAGACCUUCGGGUCUAGUGGCGCACGGGUGCGUAACGCGUGGGAACCUGCCCUUAGGUUCGGAAUAACUCCCCGAAAGGGGUGCUAAUACCGGCUAUUGUCUUCGGUCCAAAGUUUUAUCGCCUUUGGAUGGGCCCGCGUUGGAUUAGCUAGUUGGUAGGGUAAAAGCCUACCAAGGCGACGAUCCAUAGCUGGUCUGAGAGGAUGAUCAGCCACACUGGGACUGAGACACGGCCCAGACUCCUACGGGAGGCAGCAGUGGGGAAUAUUGGACAAUGGGCGAAAGCCUGAUCCAGCAAUGCCGCGUGAGUGAUGAAGGCCUUAGGGUUGUAAAGCUCUUUUACCCGGGAUGAUAAUGACAGUACCGGGAGAAUAAGCUCCGGCUAACUCCGUG
rnacentral:rRNA from 1 species